rnacentral:ncRNA from 1 species
CAAGGUAGUUUGUUUGGCUCUGCAAGUAUGUUAGGACCCAAAAGAUGGUGAACUAUGCCUGGAUAGGGUGAAGUCAGAGGAAACUCUGAUGGAAGCUCAUAGCGGUUCUGACGUGCAAAUUGAUCAUAGAAUCUGGGUAUAGGGGCAAAAGACUAAUCAAACCAUCUAGUAGCUGGUUCCUGCCGAAGUUUCCCUCAGGAUAGCAAAGACUUUUAAAUUAGUUUUAUGAGGUAAAGUGAAUGAUUAGAGGGCUUGGGAAUGUAAUGUUCUUAACCUAUUCUCAAGAAGGCCAGUUGACUACAAGGUGAUAACCACCAACUUUGUAUAUCUGGACACAUUCAGAGAGGUCCCCAGUGACAAAGGAAAUCCAUUUCAAAGAUUGAAAUUGCCAGAGACACUUUGCCGUUAGUAUUCUUUUAAAGAUAUUGACAAGUAGGCAGGCGUAAAGUUUGCGUAGAAGCUUUGACAGUGAUGUUGAGUGGAGCAGCCUUUAGUGCAGAUCUUG